ACAGUAGCUUAGUGGUAAAGCACUUGCCUAGCAGGUAUGAGGCCCUGUGUUCAAACCCCAGCACUGAA
rnacentral:tRNA from 1 species